rnacentral:rRNA from 1 species
UACGAAGGGGGCUAGCGUUGCUCGGAAUCACUGGGCGUAAAGCGCACGUAGGCGGAUCUUUAAGUUAGGGGUGAAAUCCUGGAGCUCAACUCCAGAACUGCCUUUGAUACUGGGGAUCUCGAGUCCGGGAGAGGUGAGUGGAAUUCCUAGUGUAGAGGUGAAAUUCGUAGAUAUUAGGAAGAACACCAGUGGCGAAGGCGGCUCACUGGCCCGGUACUGACGCUGAGGCGCGAAAGCGUGGGGAGCAAACAGG